GUUGUGGUGUAAUUUUUCUUCGCUGUGCCAUUCUUGUCUAUAAUUGAAUGAUCAAUAGAACGAUAUAAUACAUUCUCUCAUAAACCAGAGCGCUGCGCUCAUUGGUCAAAAAGGUUCAUAUGUGGCUCGCGGCUGAUAUUUUACACUGUCAAUGUUAAGAAAACGCGAUAAUUCAUACUUAAUGCAUCUUUUGCAUUAAAUAUAUCUCAAUGAAUUUUACAUAAAAAAAAGUCCAUGAAAAAAUAAAUCGGACCGAGGUGCUCCAGAAGUGUUGUUUGUUAAGGUCUUUUAAUCUUUGACUAUGCCAAUUUGCAACCAUCAAAUCCCCAAUUGAUGCCGUCGGAGCUUAAAAUACAAUAUUCUUAUCUCCAUUCUAAUGAAACUGACAGAAAACAACAUUAAAACAUGUAAUUAAAAUCUGUCAUUUGCCGUUUGCGCUUGUGCGUACGUCCCAUGUAAAAAAGUGACGUUAUCCAAUUAAAAUUAACGUUACAAACGUUGUUGCAUUAGAAUGUAUGAUAUUUGGAUAAUUUGUACAGUUCGGCCGGCUGUUGUCUCUUUAUUAGUCGGGUUGUUGUCUCUUUGACAUAUUCACUAUGUCCAUUCUCAAUUUUAAACUCCAUUUUACUUUAGAAAAAUACUAGUAGAGGGUGAUCUGAAGUCAAUUAAUCAAUAUUGUUUAUCGUUCCUUCAUCAGCCUAUACCACCUUGCUCAGCCGCUGCCUUAUUCACAUAUCUUUGAGACGAUACGAACACAUUAUCAGCGACGUCAUAUUGUGUCAGGAGACAUUAUCAAGCUUGAUUUCGUCAUGUGUCAAACUGUUUUAGGAAAACAAAUAAAUAUAGAUUCUACCACUGCAUCGAGUGUAAUACGAUAUUCAUCCACUCGAGACAGUUAAAUUUUCAAAUUUAAAACGCGAGGCUUGCCCGAGCGUUUUAAAUAUUUAGAAUUUAACUGUCGAGAGUGGAUAAAUAUCGUAUUACACGAAAUUU
rnacentral:lncRNA from 1 species